rnacentral:rRNA from 1 species
AGGCCCUACGGGGCGCAGCAGUGAGGAAUAUUGGUCAAUGGGCGGGAGCCUGAACCAGCCAAGUCGCGUGAGGGAAGACGGUCCUAUGGAUUGUAAACCUCUUUAGGCGGGGAGCAAUGCCGGGCACGCGUGUCCGGAGGGAGAGUACCCGCAGAAUAAGCAUCGGCUAACUACGUGCCAGCAGCCGCGGUAAUACGUAGGGGGCAAGCGUUAUCCGGAUUCACUGGGUGUAAGGGAGCGUAGACGGCCAUGCAAGCCUGGAGUGAAAGCCCGGGGCCCAACCCCGGGACUGCUCUGGGAACUGU